CCUACGGGAGGCAGCAGUGGGGGAUAUUGCACAAUGGGGGGAACCCUGAUGCAGCGACGCCGCGUGGGUGAAGAAGCGCCUCGGCGCGUAAAGCCCUGUCAGCAGGGAAGAAAAUGACGGUACCUGAAGCAGAAGCCACGGCUAACUACGUGCCAGCAGCCGCGGUAAUACGUAGGGGGCAAGCGUUAUCCGGAUUUACUGGGUGUAAAGGGGGCGCAGACGGCGAUGCAAGCCAGGCGUGAAAGCCCGGGGCCCAACCCCGGGACUGCUCUUGGAACUGCGUGGCUGGAGUGCAGGAGGGGGAGGCGGAAUUCCUGGUGUAGCGGUGAAAUGCGUAGAUAUCAGGAGGAACACCGGUGGCGAAGGCGGCCUGCUGGACUGCAACUGACGUUGAGGCGCGAAAGCGUGGGGAGCAAACAGGAUUAGAUACCCCAGUAGUC
rnacentral:rRNA from 1 species